GGGUCUGCAGCUGCUGUCUGCCGGGGUGAUCAAGGAAACUACCUGGGUAGCUCUGCUCUUGUCAUCUUUGGCGUUUGCGACCCCACAAUUCUGGAGGUGAUUGCAUGUUGGGAGGCAUUAGCACUAGCAGAGGAUCUUAAUUUGCAAAAUUUCAUCGUUGCUUCGGACUGCAAGCAAGUUGUCUCAGACAUUUCAAAGAGGGUCGAAGGCCCGUAUGGCGCUAUCAUUAGUGAAAUAAAACUCAAAGCUACUCUGUUUAAUUGUAAUUUUGGUCUCGAGGGUCGUGUUGUUAACUAUGAAGCACAUAGACUAGCUAGAUUUGCUCUUUCUCAGGGUCCAGGACGCCACUUUUGGUUUGGUAAUCCCCAUGACCCCUCUUGUAUCUCACUGCAUGUGGAUUUUGCUGAUGAAUAA
rnacentral:rRNA from 1 species